UCNGGAAAGUCUGGAGUAAAAGGCUAUGGCUCAACCAUAGUGUGCUCUGGAAACUGUCUGACUUGAGUGCAGAAGGGGAGAGUGGAAUUCCAUGUGUAGCGGUGAAAUGCGUAGAUAUAUGGAGGANCACCAGUGGCGAAAGCGGCUCUCUGGUCUGUCACUGACGCUGAGGCUCGAAAGCGUGGGUAGCGAACAGGAUUAGAUACCCUGGUAGUCCACGCCGUAAACGAUGAGUGCUAGGUGUUAGGCCCUUUCCGGGGCUUAGUGCCGGAGCUAACGCAAUAAGCACUCCGCCUGGGGAGUACGACCGCAAGGUUGAAACUCAAAGGAAUUGACGGGGGCCCGCACAAGCGGUGGAGCAUGUGGUUUAAUUCGAAGCAACGCGAAGAACCUUACCAGGUCUUGACAUCCCGAUGCUAUUCUUAGAGAUAGGAAGUUACUUCGGUACAUCGGAGACAGGUGGUGCAUGGUUGUCGUCAGCUCGUGUCGUGAGAUGUUGGGUUAUGUCCCGCAACGAGCGCAACCCUUAUUGUUAGUUGCCAUCAUUAAGUUGGGCACUCUAGCGAGACUGCCGGUAAUAAACCGGAGGAAGGUGGGGAUGACGUCAAAUCAUCAUGCCCCUUAUGACCUGGGCUACACACGUGCUACAAUGGUCGGUACAACGAGUUGCGAGCCGGUGACGGCAAGCUAAUCUCUGAAAGCCGAUCUCAGUUCGGAUUGGAGGCUGCAACUCGCCUCCAUGAAGUCGGAAUCGCUAGUAAUCGCGGAUCAGCACGCCGCGGUGAAUACGUUCCCGGGCCUUGUACACACCGCCCGUCACACCACGAGAGUUUGUAACACCCGAAGUCGGUGAGGUAACCUUUUAGGGGCCAGCC
rnacentral:rRNA from 1 species